GACGAACGCUGGCGGCGUGCUUAACACAUGCAAGUCGAACGGAAAGGCCCUGCUUUUGUGGGGUGCUCGAGUGGCGAACGGGUGAGUAACACGUGAGUAACCUGCCCUUGACUUUGGGAUAACUUCAGGAAACUGGGGCUAAUACCGGAUAGGAGCUCCUGCUGCAUGGUGGGGGUUGGAAAGUUUCGGCGGUUGGGGAUGGACUCGCGGCUUAUCAGCUUGUUGGUGGGGUAGUGGCUUACCAAGGCUUUGACGGGUAGCCGGCCUGAGAGGGUGACCGGCCACAUUGGGACUGCGAUACGGACCAGACUCCUACGGGAGGCAGCAGGGGGGAAUAUUGCACAAUGGGCGGAAGCCUGAUGCAGCAGCGCCGCGUGCGGGAAGACGGCCUUCGGGGUGUAAACCGCUUUCGCCUGUGACGAAGCGUGAGUGACGGUAAUGGGUAAAGAAGCACCGGCUAACUACGUG
rnacentral:rRNA from 1 species